GUGCUGUAACUGUGCAAGUCACUACUAAACAAAGCAUUACAGAAUAUACUGCCAGGUGGAAUCCUGCACUAGCAACAGGAUGAUAGAAAAAAAAGCUGAUGCAUUACCUGGAGAAGGAGAAGAGGCUUUGCGUGGAGGUGUUGGGAGAAAAUGAGUGUGUAAGGACUGUUUGCAGCAAGAAAUCCAGAGUGAGGGAACCCUGCUUAUGACAAGUGAAUGCAUACAGUUUACAAUGCUGUUUCAGCUGACAAAUGCUGAUUUCCCAGGGUGUGGCUUGGAGAAAUUUAUGAGUGUAUCGUUCUACAAGAUUUUCAUAAAGCUGCAUAGAGUACUUAUUCUCCUGAACACUUUGUGGAGCUACAGUUUUUCCAGCUGCCUUUAUGCUAAGUAUAUCUGAAUCAUCUGAAAGCCAUUCAGGCUGCUAACCCGCUUGGAUAAAACAGCUGUCUCCAGGGCUUCUCAGGCAACAGCCACCACAGCAGCAACUCAAAGAAGCCAAACUAGACAGAAUGCUAUCGGGGACAAUGAAGCCAAAUGUCACUUGCUUUCUGCUAAGGAAUACAGUUAUUUACAUUACUAGUAGCUGAAAGCUCAAGCUAUCACACGGGUGUAAUUUGUAAAGUCAUUGUAAAAAAGCAAAAAAUGGCUGAGAAAUUAAAAAU